CGGAGGAAAAGAAACCAACAGGGAUUGCCCUAGUAACGGCGAGUGAAGCGGCAACAGCUCAAAUUUGAAAUCUGGCGUCUUUGGCGUCCGAGUUGUAAUUUGCAGAGGGCGCUUUGGCAUUGGCAGCGGUCCAAGUUCCUUGGAACAGGACGUCACAGAGGGUGAGAAUCCCGUACGUGGUCGCUAGCCUUUACCGUGUAAAGCCCCUUCGACGAGUCGAGUUGUUUGGGAAUGCAGCUCUAAAUGGGAGGUAAAUUUCUUCUAAAGCUAAAUACUGGCCAGAGACCGAUAGCGCACAAGUAGAGUGAUCGAAAGAUGAAAAGCACUUUGGAAAGAGAGUUAAAAAGCACGUGAAAUUGUUGAAAGGGAAGCGCUUGCAGCCAGACUUGCCUGUAGUUGCUCAUCCGGGUUUUUACCCGGUGCACUCUUCUACGGGCAGGCCAGCAUCAGUUUGGGCGGUUGGAUAAAGGUCUCUGUCAUGUACCUCCUCUCGGGGAGAACUUAUAGGGGAGACGACAUGCAACCAGCCCGGACUGAGGUCCGCGCAUCUGCUAGGAUGCUGGCGUAAUGGCUGUAAGCGGCCCGUCUUGAAACACGGACCAAGGAGUCUAACAUCUAUGCGAGUGUUUGGGUGUCAAGCCCGAGCGCGUAAUGAAAGUGAACGGAGGUGGGAACCUUUCGGGGUGCACCAUCGACCGAUCCUGAUGUCUUCGGAUGGAUUUGAGUAAGAGCAUAGCUGUUGGGACCCGAAAGAUGGUGAACUAUGCUUGAAUAGGGUGAAGCCAGAGGAAACUCUGGUGGAGGCUCGCAGCGGUUCUGACGUGCAAAUCGAUCGUCAAAUUUGGGCAUAGGGGCGAAAGACUAAUCGAACUAUCUAGUAGCUGGUUCCUGCCG
rnacentral:rRNA from 1 species